CCUACGGGUGGCAGCAGUCGAGAAUCAUUCACAAUGGGGGAAACCCUGAUGGUGCGACGCCGCGUGGGGGAAUGCAGGUCUUCGGAUUGUAAACCCCUGUCAUGUGGGAGCAAAUUAAAAAGAUAGUACCACACGAGGAAGAGACGGCUAACUCUGUGCCAGCAGCCGCGGUAAUACAGAGGUCUCAAGCGUUGUUCGGAAUCACUGGGCGUAAAGCGUGCGUAGGCUGUUUCGUAAGUCGUGUGUGAAAGGCGCGGGCUCAACCCGCGGACGGCACAUGAUACUGCGAGACUAGAGUAAUGGAGGGGGAACCGGAAUUCUCGGUGUAGCAGUGAAAUGCGUAGAUAUCGAGAGGAACACUCGUGGCGAAGGCGGGUUCCUGGACAUUAACUGACGCUGAGGCACGAAGGCCAGGGGAGCGAAAGGGAUUAGAUACCCUUGUAGUC
rnacentral:rRNA from 1 species